UACGGCCAUAUCAUGUUGGAACAUCGCUUUCCAUACGAUCAGCGAAGUUAAACAACGUCGAGCCUGGUCAGUACCUAGAAGGGUGACCGUUUGGAAAUAUCAGUUGCUGUAA